rnacentral:rRNA from 1 species
CCUACGGGAGGCAGCAGUGAGGAAUAUUGGUCAAUGGACGAGAGUCUGAACCAGCCAAGUAGCGUGAAGGAUGACUGCUCUAUGGGUUGUAAACUUCUUUUAUAUGGGAAUAAAAUGUUCCACGUGUGGGAUUUUGUAUGUACCAUAUGAAUAAGGAUCGGCCAACUCCGUGCCAGCAGCCGCGGUAAUACGGAGGGUCCGAGCGUUAUCCGGAUUUAUUGGGUUUAAGGGGAGCGUAGGUGGAUUAGUAAGUCAGUUGUGAAAGUUUGCGGCUCAACCGUAAAAUUGCAGUUGAAACUGGCAGUCUUGAGUACAGUAGAGGUGGGCGGAAUUCGUGGUGUAGCGGUGAAAUGCUUAGAUAUCACGAAGAACUCCGGUUGUGAAGGCAGUUCACUGGACUGCAACUGACACUGAGGCUCGAAAGUGUGGGUAUCAAACAGGAUUAGAUACCCGGGUAGUC